CGCGGGGUGGAGCAGCCCAGUUGCUCGUCGGACUUAUAACCCAAAGGCCGCAGGUUCAAAUCCUCCCACGCAACCA
rnacentral:tRNA from 1 species